GAUCCUGGCUCAGGACGAACGCUGGCGGCGCGCCUAACACAUGCAAGUCGAACGGAGCUGAGAGGAGCUUGCUUUUCUUAGCUUAGUGGCGAACGGGUGAGUAACGCGUGAGUAACCUGCCCUGGAGUGGGGGACAACAGUUGGAAACGACUGCUAAUACCGCAUAAGCCCACGGCCCGGCAUCGGGCUGAGGGAAAAGGAUUUAUUCGCUUCAGGAUGGACUCGCGUCCAAUUAGCUAGUUGGUG
rnacentral:rRNA from 1 species